rnacentral:lncRNA from 1 species
CCAAGACCCUCAGCGCCCGUCCCAGGCCCUAGGAACCUGCCAGGCCAGCAUGAGCCAGCCUCGGGGCGUGCUCCGCAGAAGCUCUAAACUGGACCCCGCAGACCCACAGAUCAGACCCUGGCCCCCAAGGGGCAGGCAUGACUCCCAGAAGCCUUCCCUGCAGGCUGGAGUUUGGGGACUUCCAGCACAGCACAACCUAGGUGCCGUGAGACAUGGAGGCGGCUCACCGCCCUCCCAGGGCCGGCCGGGGUCCACCGGAUACAUCUUCCCACACGGGGUGAACAAGGAGCCUCCCCUGUCUCCUGCAGUGGUGUCACCUGGUCCCCGUCCCUGUGGUAGCCAGCAGUCCAGACAGCCAGAGCGGGAGGGAG